rnacentral:lncRNA from 10 species
AAAAAUGUUUUGGUGUAAACUUGGCCAAGGGGAACUCUUGAAACUUUCAGUUUCUUUGCCUAACUCUGAGUUGCUUGAGUCACAUUUUUGCAUGGUUCUUGAUUGACUUUCUGGUGCUCUGCCUGGAGGUCUUUGCUUAUCUGUGAGUUGCCUGAGUCACAUUUUUACAUGGUUCUGGUGCUCUGCCUGCAGGUCAAGAAGGAGCCAGUAUCUCCAGGAGGAGUGAGAGAGUGCUCUGCCAGUGUGAAGUGUGAAUCCUUGAGAGGCUGUGGCAAGGGUCCAUGCCUGAAUGUGUAGAACAAGAACAGCUGGAGGCUGUGGCUUUCUCCAGGAAGAGGUUUCUAAAUCUGCCUCUUAGAAGAUAUCAGAAAGUUAAAGUUUCUCUUGCUGCCGCCGUGUAAGAAGGACCUUUUGCCUCCCACCAUGAUUCUAAGUCCUCCCCAGCCACGUGGAACUGCUUUCAUUUGGUCUCUUUUCGAAUCAGAAGACCCAGAAAACUUGGAUCCACUUCUGGCUCUCAUCCCUCUGGGCAGUGUGAUUUGGAGUAAAGCAGCUACGGCUUAGAAAGGCUGAGGAACUUGCCUGAGGCUAUCCAGCUACUGAGAGAUAAACUGGGGUGUGAAUUCAGAGAGCUUGACUCCUGAGGCUCCACCUGUGCCUAUAAUUCCAGCAUGACACCUGGUAAUGGGCACUCAGUAUAUGCUUGUUGAUCUAAACUCAGUGUGUGUGUGUGUGUCUGUGUGUGUCUGUGUGUGUGUGUGUGUGUGUGUGUGUGUGUGUGGUCUUCCUCUCACAUCCAAAGCUACUAGCACUGAGGAAGUUGGGCAUGGUGUAGGAAAGAGAAAUCUUUGCUGUUAAAUCUCAUUUCCAGCAUAACUGUCAAUGGAGAGGUGGCAUGGAAGGGACAACCAGUUCGUGUACCAAAUUACUCUCAGCUUGCUUGUUGUCUUAGGCAUAUGUUCUGGGAGUGGCCAACACCUGUUUUACAUCUGUGUUAGUCUUUGCGGAAUAAAAAGCAAAUUAGGGUUUAAUGGGGACUAUUAAUCUUGUCACCUAAUUGAGUAGAUCUAAUAAAUCUUUUCAUUCAAAACCCAAUGGGAAUUUCUAGUUGGAAAUGAGUGUGGGGAAUAUUCAAUCUCAAAAAUAUUUUCAUACACAAAGAUUAUAUAUGAGUUUGUGAAAGAUGUUGAAUAUUCAAUGAAAUUUAAUGAGUAUGAAUUGAACACUUAUCCUGGGCCUAGAACUGUUGGCAGUUGCUUUUGAGAGUUACAGAGUACAUUUAUGGUAAUUACUGCACUUACGAAUUUUGCUAUGUGGUUUGGGAGUAUCUGAAGUAUCUUAUAGUAGGUCUCUAAACUGGUAAUAAUAAAAAGUUCAAAUAUAUUAUUUUGUUACACUCCACGAGGAUCAAACUUCAUCAUGACAUGAUUAUAAUUUGAAAUAUGAGUAAGAAAUACGUAGGGUCAUGAUCUCUAUAAGCCCAUUCUUUGCUUCUUAAUUAAAUUUUGCAGCUGAUAGAAACAUUGAAAGCAGAGCAUUAGCUUAUAAAUAAUUCAGAAAAUGGUUGGUAACUCCCAUAGUAUAUGUUUUAUGAGUUUUGUUUAAGAAGAGUCUAUUUCGUGUUAGGUAAAGUUGGCCAUUGUUUAGAAUAAAGACCUGCAUUACUUUCUAUUCUAAAUUAAACUGUUAAUGGGAGUGCUUGCAAAGGCCUUGGUGCUUUUUUUUCUGUUUAAUAGGAGCAACAUCACUUUGGAUCAAUUAUUUAAUUUCCUUAUGUCAGAGUUCUUUCAAUUUAAAGGAAAAUAUUUCCUUUCCUCAUUCCUUUUUCUCUGAGGAUGAACCAGACAUUGGAAGUUGUAGCCUGGGAUUGUACUGGAGCUCUCACUGUGGUUGCAUUCUUUCUUCACAUUCAGCGUCCUCCUUAAAGCACACAUUUUCACGUACAUCUAUUAAAUUACCUGGGAGAGAGUUCUAGACACUAUCAGUCAGUAAAUCCAGUUGUCUCAUUUUUCAGUUUUAGCUAUUGUUGCGGUCAUAUGCCAAGGCUUGUAUGAAUGAAGGGUCUAUAAAAAUAUCUGCUGUGGUGUGAUUUUUUUUAUCCUUGUAUGAGACCAUAGCAUGAGACAGUAGACUGGCAAAUUGGCAGGGCGAGGAGAGUGUUUGUGCUUACACGGGGCAAUGAAAAGAGUUUUGAUUCUUCUUUAGCUAAAUGUUAUAAAACUUUAAAGCUUACAUUUGAAUAAUCGUUGCAGAUGGGUUAGAUAAAAUCCAUCAACUCACAAUGUUUUUCCUGUUUCCAUUCACUAGUGAGUAACAAGGUUAAAAGAAGGAAUGUUCUAUAAAAUAAGAUAUAGAAUUUGGGUUAGGUUUACAAGUGAAGAGUUCCUCUUUGCCCUGCCCCCAAAUUAUUUUUAGGCCCCAGGCCUCUGAAGCCAAGGUAAUCUGCAGGGCAGCUUUCACAUUUUAUCACAAGUCAGUGGUCUCUCCUCUUCCUUGUCCCUCCUAUCUUGCCGGCAAAUGGCUCUGUGGGAAACCCAUUCUGCUUCCUGUUUAAACUGUAGAAACAAUUCAUUUAAUUCAAUAUCUAGCUUUUGAUUCUAUUUGCAAAAAUACAGUUGUAAAUAGUUCCAUUCAUUAGCCAAUUUUUUUUUUGGUCUGUUAAGCAUAUUUGGGUCAUUUUAUAGUUAACCUUGGCUGAGGGAGAGAAGUUCUUUGAAGCUCUUACUUACUUACUUGUGAAUUUUUGGGUCUGAUAUGGAGGCUUUGCAGGUCAGAAGCAUGGCUUGACUGACCCAAUGCCCAUUUCUGGCUCUCUUCAUCCUCGCUGACCUCUACAGUAGAGAAAGGAGAAGCUGAAUAUUCACUGCUCUAACCUCCCUUGAAGCAAGGGGUGGCCUUGUAACAGUUCUGGCCAAUGUGGCAUAAGCAGAAUUCUGCUGAGGUGGGUUUUGGGAACGGCUUUUGAUUUCCUAAUAAAAGAGGCCAGAACUGCAGGCACUAUUCUUUCCACCCCUCUUGGUCUUGAACAUGGCUACAAUGUCUGGAUCUAUAGCAGUCAGCUUGCAACUUUGAGACAAUAUGCCAAUCUAAAAAUGGUAGAGCAGAAUUAUAGAUGAACAGAUGAACCCUUGGUUUUUAUUAGAUCAUGGAGCCCCAUAUUAUACAGUACUGCUUCCCUUUAGACAUCAUACAUGAAAAAUAAAUCCCUUUGUGGUAGGUUUAAUACAAGGCCACAAAUUCUUUGACACUCCUCCCAGCAAAGUCUAAUUCACCCUCCCUUGAAUAUAGGCCAGCCUUACCCACUUGAUUCUAACUAGUAGAAUUCAGUAGAUGUGACACUGCAUGACUCUCCAUGCUAGGUUCACAAGUGAUGCGGUUUCUGCCUUUUUCUUCUCUCUGACAUGUGCCUUGGGAGCUUUGAGCUGACAUGUUAGAAGUCAGUCUACAUUGAAGCUGCCAUGCUGAAGAACUCAUGUGGGAGAACACACAGAAAUCGAGAUGCCUGAGGAGCCCCAGCUGUACCAGCCUCUAGCUCUCUGAGUCUUCUCAGCAAGAACUGUCAAACAUGAGAGUGAAGCAGCCUUCAGAUGACUCUGGCCCCAGUCUUCAAGUGCCCUAGCUGGUGCCAAGUGGAGCAGACAAGCUGCCACCCACCAAGCCCUUCCCAAAUUGCAGACUAGGAACAAAAUAAAUGUUAUUUUAAGCCACUAAAUUUUGGUUUGUUAUAUAUUAUAGCAAUAGAAAACCAGAACCCCUUUUUUUAAUGCCACUGUUAGUUGGAUAUUCUGUUACUUGCAGCCAAAAGCAUCCUUAUGUGAAAUACUUAGUAGUAGAGAAGAUUAAAAGAAAUCACUAAAA